AAUGGUUAAGGCAUCGCAGAGCUCAGUUUUAGUGAGUGGCUGUACCUGACCAUGUGUGGUUGAUGUGUGAAGAGCAUAUCGUGCUGGACUAGAAGGGCCAAAAUCACUCCCUCAAAUGCAGCUUUAAGCCAUUACACCCAAAGACACUUGAGCAGUCCAGUACAUACUGCCUUAAAACCCAUCCCCCAUUACAUGAGGCUAUGGGACUAUAUGCCUUUUGAUUGAAAAAGGGAUUUCCUUAUUAUGCAAGAUGCAUUUAUCCAUUAUGAACCACCAAAUGUUAAUGGUAAUAUAAUAUAUAUAAAAAUAUAUUCCAGCAUUUCGGUGAACAACUUAACAUAGCUUUAUGAUUAACUGCAUGCUAUUAACCUUAUGCUGUAGGUUAUUCUUCUGUACUCACUAAUCUAGCGUAACUUAGAAUUUGAUAUUUGCACUGUUACGGCCUUAAUUUUUAAAGACAUGUUAUUUUUAUUUGAUCUUGUCAGUGUAAGAUUUUGAUAGCAUUUAUGAUCACUGUGAUUUGCUCUGCAAUUAUUUAUAUAAAAACAACUUGAGUUCUUCUAGGAUAUUCAGGGAAUUGUGCUACACUGGAUCUUUUCUUUUAUGCUGCUUCUUAAUGGAAGGAAAUGAAAAUAAAGGUUACAUUUAACUUC